rnacentral:rRNA from 1 species
CCUACGGGUGGCAGCAGUGGGGAAUAUUGCACAAUGGGCGCAAGCCUGAUGCAGCCAUGCCGCGUGUGUGAAGAAGGCCUUCGGGUUGUAAAGCACUUUCAGCGGGGAGGAAGGCGGUGAGGUUAAUAACCUCAUCGAUUGACGUUACCCGCAGAAGAAGCACCGGCUAACUCCGUGCCAGCAGCCGCGUUAAUACGGAGGGUGCAAGCGUUAAUCGGAAUUACUGGGCGUAAAGCGCACGCAGGCGGUCUGUCAAGUCGGAUGUGAAAUCCCCGGGCUCAACCUGGGAACUGCAUUCGAAACUGGCAGCCUAGAGUCUUGGAGAGGGGGGUAGAAUUCCAGGUGUAGCGGUGAAAUGCGUAGAGAUCUGGAGGAAUACCGGUGGCGAAGGCGGCCCCCUGGACAAAGACCGACGCUCAGGUGCGAAAGCGUGGGGAGCAAACAGGAUUAGAACCCUAGUAGUC